rnacentral:tRNA from 1 species
GUUAGCGUAGCUUAAAUGAAAGUAUAACACUGAAGAUGUUAAGAUGGGCCCUAGAAAUCCCCGCAAGCA